rnacentral:rRNA from 1 species
GACGGAGGAUGCAAGUGUUAUCCGGAAUCACUGGGCGUAAAGCGUCUGUAGGUGGUUUAAAAAGUCUAUUGUUAAAAAUUGAAGCUUAACUUCAAAGAUGCAAUGGAAACUUUUAAACUUGAGUAUGGUAGGGGCAGAGGGAAUUUCCGGUGGAGCGGUGAAAUGCGUAGAGAUCGGAAAGAACACCAACGGCGAAAGCACUCUGCUGGGCCGACACUGACACUGAGAGACGAAAGCUAGGGGAGCGAAUGGG